UGCCUCCAUUUUCCCUUGCCAAUAACAUGGACUAUAAUUUCUGAUUUGCCUGGAGUUCGACCAGAUUUUAUAAGUCCCUUAUCUAAAGCCAUCAGACAACACUCGGCAAGCCGUAGCCACAAGUUAGGAUGGUUGUAAAAUAUUAAACUUGCUUUCUGGAAACAGCGAGCAGCCAGCAAGGGUUUCCCACAAGCCAAGUGUUGUAUGCCACAAUUGUACAUAAUGAGGAGAGAUUUAUCUUGUAAAAAAGUUGACAGUUUCAAAGGCUUGUCCUUCCAAAGUGAAGGACUACUAGACAGUGCCUUGGAAAAGAGGACAGACGAUGUGUGGUAUUUAUGAAGACGAUAAUAAAUGCAGCCAAGGUUGUUGAACAUGCUUGAAAUCCCCAUCUCUGUCCGAUUACUUGAUGCCAUCAACAACUUGAUGGCUUUACGAUGAUUCCCACGAGCAUAUUCAAGCUGAGACUUCAAGAGGAGAGCUGUGGACGAGUCUCUCCCACGUGCAAUGUUCAUAGCAAGCUUGACUUCGCGCUUCGCUUGUUUUAAAUUCCUUGUGAGAAGUAGAAACUGGACCUUGUAAAGCUGCAACUUAAGCUUCAGAUCAAUGGUAGACAUAGACCUAUCAACUUGGGUCCUGGAAAGAUCAUUUGAAGAUGGGAGACCAGAUGGCCUUGUCAGGUUCUGUCCACUUAUGUCUAAUGAAAACAUGGUUUCAUACUCAAGUGACUCCUCUGAUA
rnacentral:misc_RNA from 1 species